GUAGGAGCUGCCGAAGGCUGCGAUCUUUUGAUUCUGUUUUAAGGGAAUCAGGAUCAAAGAUCGCAGCCUUCGGCAGCUCCUAC
rnacentral:antisense_RNA from 1 species